AUUGAACGCUGGCGGCAGGCCUAACACAUGCAAGUCGAACGGUAACAGGAAGCAGCUUGCUGCUUCGCUGACGAGUGGCGGACGGGUGAGUAAUAUCUGGGAAGCUGCCUGAUGGAGGGGGAUAACUACUGGAAACGGUAGCUAAUACCGCAUAAUGUCGCAAGACCAAAGAGGGGAACCUUCGGGCCUCUUGCCAUCGGAUGUGCCCAGAUGGGAUUAGCUUGUUGGUGGGGUAACGGCUCACCAAGGCGACGAUCCCUAGCUGGUCUGAGAGGAUGACCAGCCACACUGGGACUGAGACACGGUCCAGACUCCUACGGGAGGCAGCAGUGGGGAAUAUUGCACAAUGGGCGCAAGCCUGAUGCAGCCAUGCCGCGUGUAUGAAGAAGGCCUUCGGGUUGUAAAGUACUUUCAGCGGGGAGGAAGGGAGUAAAGUUAAUACCUUUGCUCAUUGACGUUACCCGCAGAAGAAGCACCGGCUAACUCCGUG
rnacentral:rRNA from 1 species